UACGGAGGGUGCAAGCGUUGUCCGGAAUCACUGGGCGUAAAGGGCGCGUAGGCGGCUCAUGAAGGCUGUGGUGAAAGUCCGGGGCUCAACCUCGGAUCGGCCGUGGCGACUCGUGGGUUGGAGCACUGUAGAGGCGGGUGGAAUUCCUGGUGUAGCGGUGGAAUGCGCAGAUAUCAGGAGGAACACCAAUGGCGAAGGCAGAUCUCUGGGGCCGUAACUGACGCUGAG
rnacentral:rRNA from 1 species